GAUGAAGAACGUAGCGAAAUGCGAUACUUGGUGUGAAUUGCAGAAUCCCGUGAACCAUCGAGUCUUUGAACGCAAGUUGCGCCCGAAGCCAUCCGGCCGAGGGCACGUCUGCCUGGGCGUCACACACCGUUGCCCCCCCAAACCCCGUCGGGGAAGAAGGUGGGCGGAUGCUGGCCUCCCGUGAGCCUCGCCUCGCGGCUGGCCCAAAUGCGAGAUCUCUGCUGCGAGCGUCGCGGCGAUGGUGGUUGUCGAAUAACUCGGUGCCCCGUCGCGAACGCCCCCAGCGUGCUGUCUCGGAACGACCCCUGCGCGCGGCCUCGCGCCGCGCUUCCAACGCGACCCCAGGUCAGGCGGGGCUACCCGCUGAAUUUAAGCAUAUCAAUAAGCGGAGGA
rnacentral:misc_RNA from 1 species